rnacentral:lncRNA from 12 species
AUGUCUUAUUUUUUUCCAAAUGAUAAUGUCAAAACUAAUGAGAUUCUCCAUCCACAGCAACCCCUUCCCAGAUCCUUGCUGAGUGAAGUGACUAAACUCCAUCUCUCCCACCCAUCUGGUUGGAAGCCGAAAGCCAGAAGCCCCAUGUCCCCAGCAGCAGCAGGUUUGGUGAUGGUAAAAAAAGAAGAAGAAGAAGAAGAAGAAGAAGAAGAAGAAGAAGGAGAAGGAGAAGGAGAAGGAGAAGGAGAAGGAGAAGGAGAAGGAGAAGGAGAAGAAGAAGAAGAAGAAGAAGAAGAAGAAGAAGAAGAAGAAGAAGAAGAAGAAGAAGAAAGAUAAAGAAAAGUUUGCAAUGCCAAUAUACAGAAUGAAUUUGGCUGAGAGAGCAUUCACUCAACAUAAGCAGAGAAGAAGGAGAGAGAGAAUCUUAAGCAGGCCACUGGUCCAGUGCAGAGCCUGAUAUGGAGCUUGAUUUCAUAAUCCUGGGAUCGUGACCUGAGCUGAAAUCUAAAGUCAGACGCUUAACUCUCUGAGCCAUCAAGGCACCCCUAAGAAUACCUUUUCUAACAGGACUACCAAAGGACAGAAGGAGGGAUCCUACAGUAAAGGAAUUCUAUAUUACUAGUCGUCUUCAAGAAAAGUCAGGAAAGCACAGUUCUUGUGGAAGAAAUUCCCAUAUUGAAUAGGAAGUAGGAGUGGUUUAUCUGCAAGUUCUUUUCCUCACCUAAUGUCCCCUUGAUUAUUCUGUGAUUCAAUAUGAAACUGGGACAAAUAGGAGCCAAGGAUUCAAGUUGAGUUAUUGGUAGAGGGAGGGUUCAGGAUCAUGGAUGGUGUUUAUUAGUCAGGUUGGACAGAUCUGUUGAAGGGAAAGGGGAUCAUAAUCUCACUGUGCUGUCCAUAUGUGGGUCAUCUGGGUUCUGCGAGCAAAGAACUGUUCUCCUGGUGGGCUAGCAUGGCUGAACUAGACAGGAACCACAAGCCCAGAAGUAACCCUAGCCUGGUCAGAAGUGUCACGAGUCUUCUUAACAGACACUAAACCAUUUCAGAGUCUUUGUUCUUUUCUCUUUUAAUCUGGGAGCAGCAAAUUUCCUAUAAAGAUUCAGCCUCUGUGAUGGUGGGAGGUGACUUCAACUUUUAUUAAAGUUAUACCUGUCCACCAUCUCAUUUUGAUGAGAAUUGAGCUAAUCUUUCCAGACCAAUGAUAGUGGAUCUCAGCUGAUGGGACAUGGUGGUUUCAUAAAACUCACCAUGAAUCUCAGCCUGGCCAUUGUUGCCCAAGGUUCUAAUCCCUCCCAGGUCUGGUAUUCUGGCUAUUUCAGUCUCCACUCCCUUGAUCUGAGGAGCUAAUGUGGACUGCAAGGACUUCGGCUGAGCCGGAUGUCUCUUCAUCACCUGGUUUCUCUCUUGAAAUGGCUGUCAUUUUGUCAUCUCAGUGAUAUCUUCAUGGAGCCCCAUCUGCAUGGACUGGUGACAAUGAUGUGCUUAUGAUAUUCUUCCAAGAGGUCAAAUCAUACGCAAGGGACAAAGAAGGCAGCCUUAGCUCUAAAGAAAUGUACACGUACUUGGCAAAAGAAGCAAGUUUUUAAAAUUUCAGUUUAUUUUCCUUUUACUUCUUUUCUAAGGCAUGAUUACGGUUCUAUCUCCUCUUCCAUAAAAUGUUUUAAAUGAAGUCUUGAUUAUAUUUAUAACUACAUAUAUAUUUUUUACAUAUAUAUAUAUAUAUAAUGCAUAUGCAUUACAAAGUAAACAUAUGUAAAUACAUAUGAAAAAAGAAAAAGAGCAAGGAUGAAACUCACCAGAAACAACUUGCUUUGUUAAGGAGCAGCAAAUGACAUGAGCAGCAAAACGCAUGUCAGUUAAUACUAUGUGCUUGGGAUUUUUGGAGCCCAUCUUUGUCUGGGACAGCCUUCUUGGAGCUGGGACAGGAAGACAAUGAGACAAAUUAGAGAGGGGAAAGGGCUUUUAGUUAAAGGCUACUUGGCUGAGGUGUCAUGUUGAAGAAAGUGUGUCCUGAAGAUAACUACCCAAUAGAUUACUGAUCCCAAAUGCAGUUUUCAAACAAGUUAUGUGACAUGAACGAGAAUGCCGUGUGUGAAGUUCAGUGUCUUUUGUGAUAUUGGCAAUCAUAGUUAUUCCAUCAGACCACACCAAGCCUCAAACUGGGAAUUUGAAUACAGAAUAGAGGUGCUGCUUCCACCUACGAUCGUCCUUAACCUAUUAAGCAGGACCAGUUGUACCUCUCUGACAUAGUCUAAGAAACACAACUAAGCAAAUGAGUGGGAGAGAUGACUCCUGUACCAACUGUAGUGGGAAUGACCCUAAUGGAACAGAGCACAUCAGGCUUGGGGCAACAACUGCCCCAUUUAACUCCAUUUAACUGCCGCCACUCUUUAUAUAUUUUUAAAUCAUCUCCUACUGGAAAAAGCAAAUGCCACACACUCAGAAAAGUCCAAUUUGUUGCUACUUUGUAAAGCUAAACAUGAAUAAUUUUUGAACUAUUUACUGUUAGAGAUGCCCUGUGCCAGGAAGCCUUCCAAAGAUUUUGGUAAUAGAAAGUGGACUUGACUUCCUCGGUAGAGAUACUCCUUUCCCUAUCAGGGAAAAUGUGAGCACUCACCUCCCUGGCUGGAAGAUCUGUAUCUCAUUUUUAUAGUGUAGUUUUUUGCAUUUAGAGAGUAUUAUUUGACACUUGUUAGGUGUAAAUCGUUACUAUGAUGAUCUAGGAAAAGAAGGCAUUUCCACGACCUUCAUAACAAUGUGAUACUUUCCCUCAAAAGAUCUCAAAGACAUUCUGUUGAUUAUUAUGGCAGUUCCACUUAAAAAACAGGAUUUAGACUUGGAAACAUAGAAUGUUAAGAGAGCACAUUGGCAACCUCCUACCCCCUCGGUCUCUGUUUCCUGUGAUGCUUGGGGUAUUGGGGGGCAACCCAACCUCUAGUCUGCUAUUCACAGCCACUGUCUAUGUCAGAAAGAGCUGAGGCUGUUUAGUGUGGAGAAGAGAGGAUGCCAGAGAGACGUGGCUACUACCAUCUCCAUCCAUGAGAGAAACUAUGGAAGAGGGCAGUCAAGGGAGCUCACUUUUCCUGAGUAACCGUACAUGGCAGGCGCUCGGUCCGGCAUUCUGACACAUCUUACACAUCUUACAGAGCCGUCACAACAACCUUCAGAGGCAGAUCAUUUAGAUAAGGAAACUAAAAAUCAGAGUCUUGGUAAUUUCCCAGCUAGUAGCUAAGUGGCGAAGACAGAUUUAAUUCUAUAGGGCUAAAACUCUUAAAGUCCUUCUAUGACCGAGGAUUAUUCUGUACCAUCUUAUGGAUAAAACUAGGGUCAGUGGGCAGAUACAGCAAGGCAGUGGAUUUUAUCCCAUUUAGUAUAAAGAGGGAAUUCUGAAUUUCAGAGUGGUCCAGGAAUGGUAGGGUCAGGGUGGUUGAGUAGAGGGCUGUCUUUCUGGAAGCUGUGCUGGAUACUAACUCAGUGUGGGGUCAUCAUUCUCCAGUGUGUGUUCUACAGAAUAUUCUGUUUGAGGAGUGCCAAAGGCGUAGAGAAAGAAUGGGCGUGGAGAGAAGAAAGAGGCUGUGUGGUUGAAUAAAUGCUAAGUUAAAACAUGCCA